CAAUAGCGUAUAUUAAAGUUGUUGCGGUUAAAAAGCUCGUAGUUGGAUUUCUGCUGAGGACGACCGGUCCGCCCUUCGGGUGAGUAUCUGGUUUGGCCUUGGCAUCUUCUUGGUGAACGUAUCUGCACUUGACUGUGUGGUGCGGUACCCAGGACUUUUACUUUGAGGAAAUUAGAGUGUUUCAAGCAGGCAUACGCCUUGAAUACACUAGCAUGGAAUAAUAAGAUAGGACCUCGGUUCUAUUUUGUUGGUUUCUAGAGCUGAGGUAAUGAUUAAUAGGGAUAGUUGGGGGCAUUCGUAUUUAACUGUCAGAGGUGAAAUUCUUGGGUUUGUUAAAGACGGACUACUGCGAAAGCAUUUGCCAAGGAUGUUUUCAUUGA
rnacentral:rRNA from 1 species